GGAUUGAAAAUAGAGGGUCACUAAUAAGUUUGAUAAAAUCAGAUUUUAAUCUGCAGCCCUAAUUUGAAAGUUAUGCGUGACUCGAUUUUAAGGACUAAAGUGAAUAAUUUGCAAAAUUUGUAAAAAAAAUUGUAUUUGAUUCUAUUUCAAUUGGAAUUUUAUAAUGUGAUGUGUUUUAUGAUUAUUCGUAGCUAACGACAACAGCGAAUUGGAAAAGAAAAGCAAAAAUUAUCGACGAGUGACACGCGAAAAUCUCAAUUUUUACAUUUAUAAUUUAAGGUCAUUUUUGUUUAUUGCAUUUUCAUGUUUUC
rnacentral:lncRNA from 1 species